rnacentral:rRNA from 1 species
CCUACGGGUGGCAGCAGUGAGGAAUAUUGGUCAAUGGACGAGAGUCUGAACCAGCCAAGUAGCGUGAAAGAUGACUGCCCUAUGGGUUGUAAACUUCUUUUAUAUGGGAAUAAAAUGUUCCACGUGUGGGAUUUUGUAUGUACCAUAUGAAUAAGGAUCGGCUAACUCCGUGCCAGCAGCCGCGGUAAUACGGAGGAUCCGAGCAUUAUCCGGAUUUAUUGGGUUUAAAGGGAGCGUAGGUGGAUUGUUAAGUCAGUUGUGAAAGUUUGCGGCUCAACCGUAAAAUUGCAGUUGAAACUGGCAGUCUUGAGUACAGUAGAGGUGGGCGGAAUGCGUGGUGUAGCGGUGAAAUGCUUAGAUAUUACGAAGAACUCCGAUUGCGAAGGCAGUUCACUGGACUGCAACUGACACUGAGGCUCGAAAGUGUGGGUAUCAAACAGGAUUAGAUACCCUGGUAGUC